AUCAGCAUUGCCCUGACUGUUAAUGAACAACUUAAUACAUUAUCCCUCUUAGUAGCUUUUUUGUCUGUUCUACUUAAUAUGACUGGUUUAAUUCUGUAAUUAAUACACAGUUAUUCUUAAGUGUUAAAAAUUAACUGAAAUGUGAUCCCUGUUAAACAUAAGAGUGGGGAUAAGAGAGGGAAGAGAUUUAUAAUUUGGGACAUGCUCAAGCUGACUUGCCCCAAAUGGUAGAGUUAAAAACAUACCAGGGGAUUCCAAUUCAAUCCCAUCAAGGUGGCAUUACCAAUGCCAUCUCACUAUUCCAAGUGAUCAAUUUCAUUUCACAAUUGAUCAUAAUGAAAGGACUAAGAGUCAAAGGGAGCACAUAAACAAGUCUAGUACCUGCUAACACUAACCAAUGGAAUAAAUAAAGGGGAGAGUGAUCCAACAUGGGAAGUGAAAUACUCAGCAGACUCAUAGAAUGGUGGAUGUCCUAAACAGCACUCUGGCCUCAGAAUCAGCCCUAAAGGCAUUCAGAUCUGGCUGAAAAUCCCAUGAGAGUAUUUCAGGCAUGGAAAGCCAAGACACUCUGGCAAAAGAUCUCUGUGAGUGAGAUCCCAGUGGAAAGAACAGGUCAUCAAAGAAGGAGGUACCUUUCUCUGAAGGGAGGAGAGAACCUCCACUUUGACUAUGAGCUUGUCUAAACAAGAUAAGAAUCAGAGAACUCAGAGGGCUUCCAUAGCCUUGGAAACUCAUGACUGGAGCAUAGGGAGAUUACUGAUGCCAUAGACAGGAGUGUCAAUUGGUAAAGUCAACAACAGGAGUCACUGUGCACUUACUCCUCAUGUAGGAUCUCUAUCCUUAAUGUGCUGUACAUUGAGAUUUAAUGCUAUAACGAGUACUCAAACAAUAUAUUUCACUUUGUGUUUCUAUGGGGGUGCAAACUGUUGAAAUCCUUACUUAAUGCAUACUAAACUGAUCCUCUGUAAAAAAAAAAAAAAAAAAAAAAAAAGAAAUUAUCAAUUCCCAACUU